CCUACGGGAGGCAGCAGUGGGGAAUAUUGGACAAUGGGCGGAAAGCCUGAUCCAGCAAUUCCGCGUGUGUGAAGAAGGCCUUCGGGUUGUAAAGCACUUUAGUUGGGGAAGAAACAGCUUGGCCACACCAAGCCUUGACGGUACCCAAAGAAUAAGCACCGGCUAACUCUGUGCCAGCAGCCGCGGUAAUACAGAGGGUGCAAGCGUUAAUCGGAUUUACUGGGCGUAAAGGGUGCGUAGGUGGUUUUGUAAGUCGGAUGCGAAAGCCUGGGGCUCAACCUCAGAAUUGCACUCGAUACUGCAAGACUAGAGUUCGGUAGAGGGCGGCGGAAUUCCCGGUGUAGCGGUGAAAUGCGUAGAUAUCGGGAGGAACAUCAAUGGCGAAGGCAGCCGCCUGGGCCUGAACUGACACUGAGGCACGAAAAGCGUGGGUAGCAAACAGGAUUAGAUACCCCUGGUAGUCCACGCUGUAAACGAUGAGAACUUGACGUUGGUUCGUUUUACGAAUCGGUGUCGCAGCUAACGCGAUAAGUUCUCCGCCUGGGGGAGGUACGGCCGCGAGUAGUAAACGUAAGUAAGUUAGUUAGUAGCGUUCGUAGAGCGCGACGGACGGACGACGACGGAGGAGGAGG
rnacentral:rRNA from 1 species